GUAUCAGUCAGGAGGCAACACUAGGAGCCGAGGAAUCUGCAUUUCUAUCAGACCUUGGCAGAGAGCGCCCUGGGAAAUGCGGAUGUAGAAGGUCACAAGAACAUCUCUCCUGGUUAUACAGCGUUCCAGGACUUCUCAUCUGUUUUUAAGAGGGAAAUCUGAGUUUUCAAGGAAAGCCAAAUACAGUUGCCAAGUUGCCAGUCAAAGAAACAAUGUCAACACCUGCUCAUAGAGAUGGAAUUCCUAACCCGGAAUAUUGCCCUUGAAUUACAAUGAGAAAAAGAACACUUCUUAUUCCUAUAGCGCCUCUUCAAGUGAGAUGGCAGACCACCUCAGGAUGGAAAUGUAUUUCUUCACCCCUCUGUCUACUUCCCUGUGACCUCCUGCAAAUAAGGGAGAGAUGAAGAGAAGAGCAGAAGAACAGCAGAAUGGAGUGGCAAAUAGACGAGGAGUGUCUGAACAUUGACAAGACUUUGGCUGGGGAUGGUCAGAGAGGAGAUUAGCUGCUAGACACCCACACUGCAGGGAAAGAUCAUUUUCCCACUCCAUCUCCCUUCCAGCUCCCCAUCCAUCUCACCAAGAGCCAGCUCCUCCGCUCAAUAAAACCUUACAUUCAUCUUUCAA
rnacentral:lncRNA from 1 species